UUUUCACCAUAAAAAUGGUUUAAACAUUAGUAACCACAAGGAAACAGAGAUAGUGCUUAUGUAAACCAGCAUAGGGAAGAGAAAGCAGUAAGCAGAAUUAAUAGAUAUUACAGAAUUAAGAUGGAUUGGACCGCCAGAAGAUGGAACCCCAGAUUCUGGUGCUUUAUUUUGGGAGGAGACUGGGGAGGAGUGGUUUGGGGACUAGUGGUAUGGGAAAUGUGCUGGCUUUUCUCCAGUGGAGACAUCCACUAGGCAGUCAGGGGCCUGUGUCUUGCCCAAACAGAGCCGAGAGACUUCAGAGUCGGGAGCAUCUUGUAAAGGGUCUUUGAGGCAUGGGACUCAGGGAGACGAGUGAACAGAAGGUAAGAUGAGACCUGGAGGCCCACUUGCAGUCAGAAGAGAGGCAGAAAAAAAAAAAAUGAAGACUCCGAAAGUUCUUCCAGAUGCGUAGGAAGAAAACCAGGAAGAGCCGACGUUAGGAAGUGACUCAAGAGUUAAAAAUGAUCAACAGAGUUUAAUGCUGCAAAGAUGAAAAAGGAAAUCAGGCUGGAGAAGCAUCCUUUGCAUGAGGAGGAAGGGGGCCUGGAGAGAGACAUCUCUUCCAUUGUUUGGAAAUGAGAGAGCAGGGGAUGAUGAGGGAGCAGAGUCUUUGAUUGUGGAUGCCACCCAGGACCGUGAGAAUAAUGGAAUGUGCAAGACUACUCACAGCAACAUGGUGAUGCUUAUUUGUGUGGGGAGUGAUGGUAGCAAAAAUAUAAGGAUAAAAAACGUUGCAUUGCAGCUGAUAUGCCAUUCUUACACACAUAAAACAACUUUCCUGGAGAGCACCCAGGCUUGACAGCCAGUUAUAAGACCUAGCUUCAAGUCCAAUAGUGGUUGUAUUUGCAUGAGGAGAAAAAGUGGAGAAAUCCUAUCUCUUUCAAUGUGUGAAAAAUACUCCCUAAAAGUGGAGAAAUCCUAUCUCUCUUUCAAAGUAUGUGUGAAAAAUAAACAUAAUAUAAAGUCUUGGACA
rnacentral:lncRNA from 12 species